rnacentral:rRNA from 1 species
UAGGGAAUCUUCGGCAAUGGACGAAAGUCUGACCGAGCAACGCCGCGUGAGUGAAGAAGGUUUUCGGAUCGUAAAACUCUGUUGUUAGAGAAGAACAAGGACGUUAGUAACUGAACGUCCCCUGACGGUAUCUAACCAGAAAGCCACGGCUAACUACGUGCCAGCAGCCGCGGUAAUACGUAGGUGGCAAGCGUUGUCCGGAUUUAUUGGGCGUAAAGCGAGCGCAGGCGGUUUCUUAAGUCUGAUGUGAAAGCCCCCGGCUCAACCGGGGGGGGUCAUUGGAAACUGGGAGACUUGAGUUCAGAAGAGGAGAGUGGAAUUCCAUAUGGAGCGGUGAAAUGCGUAGAUAUAUGGAGGAACACCAGUGGCGAAGGCAGCUCUCUGGUCUGUAACUGACGCUGAGGAGCGAAAGCGUGGGGAGCAAACAGG